UACGUAGGUGACAAGCGUUGUCCGGAUUUAUUGGGCGUAAAGAGCUCGUAGGCGGCUCAGUAAGUCGGGUGUGAAACCUCCAGGCUCAACCUGGAGACGCCACCCGAUACUGCUGUGGCUUGAGUCCGGUAGGGGAGCGUGGAAUUCCUGGUGUAGCGGUGAAAUGCGCAGAUAUCAGGAGGAACACCAGCGGCGAAGGCGGUUCUCUGGGACGGUACUGACGCUGAGACGCGAAAGCGUGGGGAGCGAACAGG
rnacentral:rRNA from 1 species